GAUGAACGCUGGCGGCGUGCUCAACACAUGCAAGUCGAACGGAAAGGCCUCAGCUUGCUGGGGUACUCGAGUGGCGAACGGGUGAGUAACACGUGGGUGAUCUGCCCUGCACUUUGGGAUAAGCUUGGGAAACUGGGUCUAAUACCGAAUAUGACCACUUCUUGGAUGUUGUGGUGGAAAGCUUUUGCGGUGUGGGAUGAGCCUGCGGCCUAUCAGCUUGUUGGUGGGGUAAUGGCCUACCAAGGCGGCGACGGGUAUCCGGCCUGAGAGGGUGUACGGACACAUUGGGACUGAGAUACGGCCCAGACUCCUACGGGAGGCAGCAGUGGGGAAUAUUGCACAAUGGGCGCAAGCCUGAUGCAGCGACGCCGCGUGGGGGAUGAAGGCCUUCGGGUUGUAAACUCCUUUCGCUAUCGACGAAGCCACUUGUGGUGACGGUAGGUAGAUAAGAAGCACCGGCUAACUACGUGCCAGCAGCCGCCGUAA
rnacentral:rRNA from 1 species